rnacentral:lncRNA from 1 species
AAAUUCUAAAAAAAACAGUAACACAGCUGAAGAUAUAUUGCAGGCAGUGAAUUUAUUACUACACAAACGGGGCAAACAUCACCUAGGAAAUAUACACGAACGGGGCAACCAUGCACAGCAGGGCCACCCUCCAUUAUUAACCACAAAGUACCGUACGUAGAAACAAGCAAACAUACUACGUAUAUAUGUGAUAAAGGAUAGCUGCAGGUGUUGGAUUUUAAGGAUUUGAAGCAGCAGCUUUGGCGGUGGCGGCUAGUAGUCCUCCGGCGCGAGUGGCUGGUGGGCGUGGGCGGCGGUAUCGGUAGACGGCAUGACGACGUACUCGUAGAGGAGCCC